GAUGAACGCUGGCGGCGUGCCUAAUACAUGCAAGUCGAGCGAACAGACGAGGAGCUUGCUCCUAUGACGUUAGCGGCAGACGGGUGAGUAACACGUAGAUAACCUACCUAUAAGACUGGGAUACCUUCGGGAAACCGGAGCUAAUACCAGAUAAUAUAUUCAACCGCAUGGUUCAAUAGAGAAUGAGGGUUUUGCUGUUACUUAUAGAUGGUUCCGCGCCGCAUUAGCUAGUUGGUAAGGUAACGGCUUACCAAGGCAACGAUGCGUAGCCGACCUGAGAGGGUGAUCGGCCACACUGGAACUGAGACACGGUCCAGACUACUACGGGAGGCAGCAGUAGGGAAUCUUCCGCAGUGGGCGAAAGCCUGACGGAGCAACGCCGCGUGAGUGAUGAAGGUCUUCGGAUCGUAAAACUCUGUUAUUAGGGAAGAACAAAUGUGUACAUAACUAUGCACGUCUUGACGGUACCUAAACAGAAAGCCACGGCUAACUACGUG
rnacentral:rRNA from 1 species